rnacentral:sRNA from 18 species
GCCCUGCUGUACCGAACUGUCUCCGUAUGGUGUGCGUUCCAUGGGUUCACAUGGAUAGGUCAGCAGGGCGCAC